rnacentral:rRNA from 1 species
UACGUAGGGUGCGAGCGUUAAUCGGAAUUACUGGGCGUAAAGUGUGCGCAGGCGGCAGAGCAAGUCGAGUGUGAAAGCCCCGGGCUUAACUUGGGAAUUGCGCUCGUAACUACUUUGCUGGAGUGUGGCAGAGGAAGGUGGAAUUCCACGUGUAGCGGUGAAAUGCGUAGAGAUGUGGAGGAACACCAAUGGCGAAGGCAGCCUUCUGGGCCAACACUGACGCUCAUGCACGAAAGCGUGGGGAGCAAACAGG